rnacentral:rRNA from 1 species
AUUGGAGGGCAAGUCUGGUGCCAGCAGCCGCGGUAAUUCCAGCUCCAAUAGCGUAUAUUAAAGUUGUUGCAGUUAAAAAGCUCGUAGUUGAACUUUGGGCCCGGGCGGGCGGUCUACCUAUGGUAAGCACUGUUGCGGCCGGGUCUUUCCUUCUGGCUAGCCUCCCCUGUGGGCGGCGAACCAGGACGAUUACUUUGAGGAAAUUAGAGUGUUCAAAGCAGGCCUUUGCUCGAAUAUAUUAGCAUGGAAUAAUAGAAUAGGACGUAUGGUUCUAUUUUGUUGGUUUCUAGGACCAUCGUAAUGAUUAAUAGGGACGGUCGGGGGCAUCAGUAUUCAGUCGUCAGAGGUGAAAUUCUUGGAUUGACUGAAGACUAACUACUGCGAAAGCAUUUGCCAAGGACGUUUUCAUUAAUCAAGAACGAAAGUUAGGGGAUCGAAGAUGAUCAGAUACCGUCGUAGUCUUAACCAUAAACUAUGCCGACUAGGGAUCGG